UUGCUGUUACGCGGCACGUAAUUGAUGAAGGCAAACCCCCGCGCCUGAUCAAUCGUGUGAAACAGCGGAUUCCAGUCGAACAUGGCGAUCAUGAAGGAUGGCAGCGAGUUUGCCACGAACAUUUUGCCGGACGCGAUCAUGUUGGCGCGCU
rnacentral:ncRNA from 1 species